AACGAACGCUGGCGGCAUGCCUAACACAUGCAAGUCGAACGAGACCUUCGGGUCUAGUGGCGCACGGGUGCGUAACGCGUGGGAACCUGCCCUUAGGUUCGGAAUAACUCCCCGAAAGGGGUGCUAAUACCGGAUAAUGUCUUCGGACCAAAGAUUUAUCGCCUUUGGAUGGGCCCGCGUUGGAUUAGCUAGUUGGUAGGGUAAAAGCCUACCAAGGCGACGAUCCAUAGCUGGUCUGAGAGGAUGAUCAGCCACACUGGGACUGGGACACGGCCCAGACGCCUACGGGAGGCAGCAGUGGGGAAUAUGGGACAAUGGGCGAAAGCCUGAUCCAGCAAUGCCGCGGGAGUGAUGAAGGCCUUAGGGUUGUAAAGCUCUUUUACCCGGGAUGAUAAUGACAGUACCGGGAGAAUAAGCUCCGGCUAACUCCGU
rnacentral:rRNA from 1 species